GCCUUUGUGGUGCAGUGAUCAGCAUGCUCGAUGAGUAUUCAAGAGGUCCGUGGUUCGAAUCCCGCGAGGGCA
rnacentral:tRNA from 1 species